rnacentral:lncRNA from 1 species
GUCAUGGCGUCCCGAACCCUCCUCCUGCUGCUCUUGGGGGCCCUGGCCCUGACCGAGACCUGGGCGGGUGAGUACCCACUCCAUAAGGUAUUUCAGCACCGCCGUGUCCCGGCCGGGUCGCGGGGAGCCCCGGUACAUCGCAGUGGGCUACGUGGACGACACGCAGUUCGUGCGGUUCGACAGCGACGCGGCGACUCCGAGGAUGUAGCCGCAGUCGCCGUGGUUGGAGCAGGAGGGACCGGAGUAUUGGGACCGGAGCACACGGAACAUCAGGCCCGCGCACAGACUGACAAGAGUGAACCUGCCCAUGCCGCGCCGCUACUACCACCAGAGCUAGGCCGGGUCUAACACCCUCCAGAUAAUGUAUGGCUGCGACUUGGGGCUGGAAGGGCGCCUCCUCCGCGGGUAUGAACAGCACGCCAACGAUGGCAAGGAUUACAUAGCCCGGAACUAGGACCUGCGCUCCUGGACCGCGGCGGACAUGGCGGCUCAGAUCACCAAGCGCAAGUGGGAGGCAGAAGAAUUUGCAGAGCAGAUCAGGGCCUACCUGGAGGGCACGUGCGUGGAGAGGCUCGCAGACACCUGGAGAACGGGAAGGAGACGCUGCAGCUCACGGACCUCUCCCCCAGACACAUAUGAUCCACCAUUCCGUCUCUGACUAUAAGGCCACCCUGAGGUGCUGGGCCCUGGGCUUCUACCCUGUGGAGAUCACACUGGCCUGGCAGCAGGAUGGAGAGGACCAGACUCGGGACAUGGAGCUUCUAGAGACCAGGCCUGCAGGGGAUGGAACCUUCCAGAAGUGGGCAGCUGUGGUGGUGCCUUCUGGAGAGGAACAGAGAUACCCGUGCCAUGUGCAGCAUGAGGGGUUGCCCAAGCCCCUCACCCUGAGAUGGGAGCAGUCUUCUCAGCCCACCAUCCCCAUCGUGGGUAUCGUUGCUGGCCUGGUUCUCCUUGGAGCUGUAGUCACUGGAGCUGUGGUUUCUGCUGUGAUGUGCAGGAAGAAGAACUCAGAUAGAGUGAGCUACUCUGAAGCUGCAAGCAGCGACCAUGCGCAGGGUUCUGAUGUGUCUCUCACGGCUUGUAAAGUGUGAGACAGCUGCCUUGUGUGGGACUGAGAGGCAAGAUUUGUUCACGCCUUCCCUUUGUGACUUCAAAAACCCUGACUCUCUUUCUGCAAAGGCACCUGAAUGUGCCUGUGUUCCUGUAGGCAUAAUAUGAGGAGGUGGGGAGACCAACCCACCCCCAUGUCCACCAUGACCCUCUUCCCUCAUGCUGACCUGUGUUCCGUCUCCAAUAAUUAAUCAUUCCUGCUCCAUAGAGGUGAGGCUGAGAUGUCUCCAUCUCUGUCUCAACUUUAUGUGCACUGAGCUGUAACUUCUUACUUCCCUAUUAAAAUUAGAAUCUGAGUAUAAAUUUACUUUUUCAAAUUCUUGCCAUGAGAGGUUGAUGGGUUAAUUAAAGGAGA